rnacentral:rRNA from 1 species
GUGGGGAAUAUUGCACAAUGGGCGCAAGCCUGAUGCAGCCAUGCCGCGUGUAUGAAGAAGGCCUUCGGGUUGUAAAGUACUUUCAGCGGGGAGGAAGGGACAGAGCUUAAUACGCUCUGUCAUUGACGUUACCCGCAGAAGAAGCACCGGCUAACUCCGUGCCAGCAGCCGCGGUAAUACGGAGGGUGCAAGCGUUAAUCGGAAUUACUGGGCGUAAAGCGCACGCAGGCGGUCUGUUAAGUCAGAUGUGAAAUCCCCGGGCUCAACCCGGGAACUGCAUUUGAAACUGGCAGGCUUGAGUCUCGUAGAGGGGGGUAGAAUUCCAGGUGUAGCGGUGAAAUGCGUAGAGAUCUGGAGGAAUACCGGUGGCGAAGGCGGCCCCCUGGACGAAGACUGACGCUCAGGUGCGAAAGCGUGGGGAGCAAACAGGAUUAGAAACCCCAGUAGUCC